rnacentral:rRNA from 1 species
UACGUAGGGUGCGAGCGUUAAUCGGAAUUACUGGGCGUAAAGCGUGCGCAGGCGGUUGUGCAAGACAGGUGUGAAAUCCCCGGGCUUAACCUGGGAACUGCAUUUGUGACUGCACGGCUAGAGUGUGUCAGAGGGGGGUAGAAUUCCACGUGUAGCAGUGAAAUUCGUAGAUAUCAGGAGGAACACCGGUGGCGAAAGCGGCUUCCUGGCCCGACACUGACGCUCAUGUACGAAAGCGUGGGGAGCAAACAGG